AAUACCUCGGUUGGAUAUCAAAUGUUAGCAGCUCCGACACAUCCAGUGCUGGAACCAUUGAUUGCAAGAUUCCCAACAAAUUGAUGGAGCUACUUGAACGCAAAAUCUGGAUGGCAAAAGGUCACGGGGGCCCAUUCAUCCAGCUCAGUUGCCCUUCCUUUGAACAAAAAUGGGAGUCCCCUGGCUUCUUAAACCCAUUGCUCUCCAGAGGCUCCUGGCUACAGUAAAGAAGAUGAAGAAUAUCACUUCUCAGGAAGGAACUUACCCUGAGGAAUGUUUUGGUUUCUACAUAUCCCUGACUUUUCUUUGAUCAUCUGAUAUUCCUGAGGUUUGCAAGACUCUGUUUCAGGCUAAGUUUACACAUCACAGUGUGGUGCUGCAUAAAGAGAUCAAGUUAGUGCUAAAUGGAAGCCAGAAGCUGUAUGGUUGUAAGAAGUCCUUGGAAAGAAGAGAAGCACUAUUGUCUCCCUUCCACAAAAUGGAGAACAUUUUAUAAUGCAAAAGAUGAAGAGAUUGAAUAACUUGACAAAGAUUAUUAAAAUGUCUUUUGCAACACAGAUGACGCGCAUUACAAGUCCCUGCCUAUCACUCUCAUCGCUGCAAUGGAAACACAUGCCCCCUCAAUUGAGGGUGCACAGAAGAUGUUCAAGGAAUUAGCAGAAGGGUUAAGGGAGCAGAAAGCAGGCGAAGCGGCUGCUGUUUAAUGAAUGCCGUUUGCCCACCACGCAGUUCAGUGCUCCACGGGGGCUGCCAGCACAAAAGGGUCCCAGUCCUGCACAGUGUUCAGCUGCAGCAGCAGUGAAUCUUCAUUAGUGGAUUUAAAUGUAAGAACUGGGGCAUAUAUAUGAAUAUUAAUGAAGAAAGAUUGACUAACUUCAUGCUAUUAAAAGAUUUCUAGUCCCAGAGAGUAGGUGGAGCCUUUUAAAAAAUGUGUAAUGAAAUAUAAUAUGUGAUACACAACUUUAAGAGCACUAAGAAUGUGGAUUUUGAUCCCUUCUAAUUUUCUGUUUAUAUAGUGCUUUGCAAGUGUGAAAUGGAAAUAUGCCUUCAUUUGAACAUUCUUCUUUUUUCUUCCGUAUGUCCCAUGUAGCGGUGUUUGUUAAUGCAGGGUUUCAUGGCCACGCAUUCUGGGGAGCCGCUUGGCAGCUAGUAUUGAUUUCUGCUCUAAAAAGUAGAGCAUCAAAUGCUUGUGUAUUUAUAAAUGUAUGUGUCCAUGCAUAUAUAUGCAUUCAUACAUAUAAAAAUGGGUGUUGCAAAGAUAUAAAAGACAUAGGAAGGUUAAAUCAGAAUUGUAAUUAAUAACCUUGCCAGUUCUAAUGUAAACUUUUGUGCCAGCAGUACAUGUAACACAUAAAUGCUGGAAAGCAUAAUAUACCAUACCAUGCCUGUGAAAGGAAUCCCUGCGCAAGAGGCUGGUGCAUUACUAUACAUUCACUAGAAACCAGAGAUUCAGGGCAGCAGAAUUUCCAGACAGUCAUGUGAGAAAAAAGUACUGCAGCAUCAAGGCAGCCAGUCCACUUAUUUCUGUCUGUUCAUGAUGUUAAAUAAUUGCCAAGGCCUGCAUUGCUAUCAGUUACUUCUCAGAGUAGCUUAAUGAUAGGAAACCAGCUUUGUGAGUGAUUGCCUGUACAAGUGAGUAGAGAUGUUACAUGUGUCUGUCUGAUCCUCUGCAAGGAGCAUGCGACUGUGGCAGCUAUAACAAAGCAGAUGAAGAAAAUGAAAGGAUCCUUAGGGAGCCAAGAUAUAUUUUUUACUCUUUGGUGUCUGUGAUGGAGACGGCUGGCAUAUAGCACAAAAUGAAAUUUGUGUUCCCGAAGACUUGCUUCUGGGCUAGCACUAAUAUUCACAAAUAAAAUACCAUGUAAAUAAGGUGCCAGAAUGGCCAUGUUUGCAGGUUCAAUGAGAAGGGGCUACUAUAAAGCAUGCCAGCCAAAAUAAGAUGGGAGAAUCUUGCCUUACUGUCUGAAGUAUUCCAUAAAGGUAAUUAGUAACAGGGUAUCUGUGUGUGUGUAAUCUGGGUGUGCGGCUAUAUCAUUAGUACGUAAAAGGUGAAAUGCGAAGCUAAAAACAGUGAGUUUGUUCUUUAUCGCACUCCUGUUUAAAAUCUUACUUGUUUUUUUCCCUCUUUUUCUGCUUAUUUUUCACCCUUUAAUAUCCAAAAUAUCAUGUCUCCAGUACCUUUUCAUUGAUGACGGUCAUUUGGAGACCUGAAUAAUGAUGUCAGCUAAAUGUGUAGCUUUUAUAAGGAACAGAAAUUUCACUGCCUGGAGAGGCAGCUGUUCCUUUAGGGCAAAAAAGAUGGAAGAUAUUUAAGGCAGCAAAAAUGAAAAAGGAAUUUAAUUUUAUUCUUUUGAUUCAUGGGUACCCAAAAUGUGACAUCAAGGUUGGGAUUCAUUUCAUCUAACAUUAUCGAUCUACAAGAAAUGACCUAGUUAUUGAAGCCUUCCUCUAUCGACAAAGGAGAGAGCCAGGCAAGGCCAGAGGUUGAUGUCUGCCCUAUCUUAUCAUGAAAUGCAUAUUAUUUCUUUCCAUUCACAACAAAGGAAUGAUGCUUAGAGACUGAGUUUCAAAGAAAUGUAUGCAUGUAACUUCAGUUAAAAAGGAUCUAUUAUGUUUGUCCUGGUUGAGUCAAGGAAUGCAAGUUCUUUCCAAAGUGGAUGUAGGAAUGAUUUCCUCCUACCAAAAGGGAGAGGUCAGCAAUCAAGGAUGCAGUACAUUGAGCACAAAUGAGGAAAUGCAGGAUAGGUAUUUCAGAGGAACGGAAAGAGGGAUGUAUUAGAGCUGGAGUCAAGCCUUCUGAAGCUUCAAGGAAGUACACUCCACAGUAUGACAUUAUCCACAUUUUUCAAGACGUACAAAAUAUGCUUCCUUCCAGAAAGGCAGGUCAGUUGGCUAGGUUAGUCCAUUACCUUGAUUUGGGGAACUUGGCACAUUGUCACUGACUCUUGUAAGUCUCAAUUUCUUCAGUAUUUUUCUUUAAGUCCUAGAUCCUGGAGUCAUGUGAUUUAAUAAAAACUUGGACUUUACUUAAAAAGAAAAAAAGCUCAAUUUUUUUUCCUAGAUUGUGGAGUAUAACUUGAAGACGCAAACUGUAAAGGCUCCCAAAAGGGAAAAGCAAAUACAAAACCAGACAUGUAUGAUCCCUUAGCCAGCCUUAUGAUUUCUGAAUACUCAGACUUGAACACUAAGUUGACAUUAAUGUAGUGUUAACAUCAUCCAUCGCCAGCCUUCCAAAACUGUGUUAGCUGUGUUAUACAUGGAAGGAAAAAAGGAUGUAAUUCUCUGUAUGGCCUUCCUCUUUUCUUCCCCUUCCCCUGUGUAUUCAUAAAGCCACACUUUGCCCCAUAUGUGCAGCUCAAGAGACAUUUAGAGGUACAAUUAUGGUGCAAACAUAACUGGGUUAUUACCACAAUAACACAACAAACUGCUCUAGCUAAAGUAUAUGUAUUGCAGGCCUGUGAUGUUAAAAUCAGAUUUCCUUAAAGUGCCUUUGGUUGCAGACAAUAAAAACAGCCUGUAUAGCAGAAGACCACUGAAAAUAACUUUUAAAGAAAGGAUCCUUUUUUACAAUAGCAGCAUUUCAUCUGAUGUGCAGACCUUGGUUCAUAAUUGAAAGUGAGACAGCCAAGGGAACUAGUAGGAUUAGGCUAUGGGAAUUCAACUGAACAAUGUUUUGCAUUCAGAUAAUUGCAUGAAAUUGGGCUAUUAGUGUAAGUUUUGCAAAUUGCAAUAACAUAAAACAAAGUAAAAUAUUCCCAGUGUAUACAUUCAACUAAUGUGCUAAAAGGGAACCACAACUGGUUUCAGACAGAGCACAGAGAAUUUCCAUUAACUAUUCAGAGCUGUGUCCAAAUAUUGUUCUCAGUCUCACAGGUUCCUCAAAUGGACUUUCAAAGGGAAACUCUUUUUAUAAAACAGUAAGUAAAUAAACAUAAUUUAAUAGUUAACUUGUGUUUUUCACUGGCCAGGACAUUACUAACAUGUCCUUUAUCUGACCUUAACGUGACGUUGCAUAUAAUAUCACUGAAAAGAACUGGAGAAGGAAAGAGUUUCAGCUCAAAUUGCAGCUGCUCACUCCAGUACCUCUCCUGACCAAAUGUCAGCAGUAGCUGCAGCUCAUGCCUUUUUAACUUCUUCCAUGGGAUAGGAUAAUUCUGUCCUGUGGCCUUCCCCUAGCUAAGCAAAAGGGUUACGAGGAGAGAUGUCCCAAAUCUUCCUUUGUCUUAACUUCUUGGUCUUUACUUUUUACCCUGCAUUCACCCUUGGGACUCAACCUCACUAUUUGGAAUGAACAUCUACAGAGGACAGUUUUAGAGGUGGCUUUUGACCAUGCAGCUCCAGCCCAGCCAAGUCAUCACAGCAGACAAAUGCUGGCCCACUACCGACUCCGGCUAGUUAUUCUAAUGCUUUGAGCUCAGUCUGGCUAAUGCCUACUGCCAUGGCACCUGAGAAGGAAGACUGCAAUUAGUCAUGCUUUUAUCUUUAUUGAAGACUUGGCUGCUCAGGAGCAUGCGCCAGCCACAUGACUUGCUGCACUGCUGAGGCGAAUGCCUGGGUCACUAAUGUCUCUGUGGGGUUCGGAGGCAAUUUCCAAUCUGCCUGUCGCUUCUCUGCCUUUUUGAGGGAAGGGAAAUAAUUUUAAUUAUUUCUGUGAUGAACGUAGGAUAUGAUAAUAUCAAAUAACCAAUUAAUGUAUCUGUGCCAGUAAUUCAAUCUCUUUACUAGUGUUUUUCAGCUUAAAAUCCAUAUCAGAGUACAGAAGAAAAUACCAUGUCAGCAUCCUGUAAUGAAUGUAAACGUAAAAGACAGUUGAGCUGUGAAUAAGAGGUACCUUAGUAACACUGGAGCUUUCAGCUCAUUUCUCUGUCACUGAAUUUAGCAGCGGAGUAAGCCUUUCAUGGCAUCUAAUGUUGUUCCCUGGAUUCUGCUCUGUGUCCAGUCUACGUGAGCCUUAAAAUUCUGAAAGAGGAGGGGUUUGUUGCUGUCCUUGGAGGGUGAUUUCCAUGCUGGUGUAUCCCACUGCCAGAAAUUUUAUCCGGAGCCUUUUUUGGAUUAAAUUAUUUCUCUUUCAAACAUUGCCCUUAACAAACUCUUCUUUUGCUUGACGGUUAAGGCUUUUCAAGUGGUUUAUGUCUCUCUAUUAUGUCUGCCUGUCACAAGUCUGUACAACGGUCUUUCAAAGUUUACUUAGGGCACAGCUGCACUGUGACGCACCACGGUGCAAAUAUCCCUGAGGCAAAGCUGAAUGAGCCAGCACCAAAACUGGGAUUUGUGUGUUGGCUAUUUAGUAGAGAGAGACAAGGACCAUCUUUUCUGGCUUGCUUUGUUCUGUGUCUGUUGAGCUUGAUACAACAGGGUCCUGGUUUACAGGCAGGGUUUGUAAGCUCUGCUUUCAGAAAAGAAAAAAGUAAUUAAAGUAGCAAGAAGUUGCACAUCACUCCAACUGCAGUGUUCAAUGCUAAACAGGGGUGUUUGGUGGGGAACAAUGCUGGUUGAAGAAAAUAAUGUGAAACAUGGUUUAGGAAUCACACAAUUUCGGCCUCAAGUAGAGUCACAUACAGUAAGUUUCUUGCUUUACAGGGAACUGGAUGGUGACAUUUCGCUGAGAGAUGGGGAAGCAACAUGGGGAGAAAAGGUCUUUAUGGUGAUGUAAAGGAAGGAAGACUGUAGGAAGAUGAAUGUGAAAGAAGAAAAGAGUAGGGAACAGAAGUAUAGGUAUUUCAUGACAGGUAUUGAAUGGGAGGGAGCCUAGGGUUGUAACUUCUAGAGGGACCAGAAACCGUUAGCAGUAGGAAACCAAAGCAGAUUUGAGGGAAGGGGAAAGGGCUGUUAAAGCAUUUCUUUCAGGAAGAUCAAGCUACUAUCAUCUGUCAGCAGGAGCAAAAGCUCACUAGAGGUGAAUGUCAUGGGCAAGAUUUUGAAAGUGUUCAUUCCAUCUGCUCCUCCUAAAAUCUGGCAAAGCGUCUGCUGAUUGCCUGAUUUAGUUAUUCUUACUUUCCAAAAAACACUGAUCCUUGAGUCUGAAAAACCUACUGAUCUGCCUUAUUCAUUAUAUAAAUUAGGAUAGCAUUUGAUUAAUCUUUGGUAUAAACUACAUCUGGGCCAGACAGGAGGAAGGCUUAUCUUUUUAUAUGAAGUCCAAAUGGUUUCCGGAAUGGGAGACGUACCCUGAAUUAUGAAGUGAUGAUUGGAAACAGAUGUGGGGGAGGAUUUUUGCAAGGUCUGGAUAUAUUUUGGAAGUAUUUAUUGACAUUGCAUAAAGUGGCAGGAACGUUCGUUGAUUCUGUUUUGUGGGAGGAGUUUAAUGGAUAUAUGUGUAAGUGACCUUUUCAGUGAGCACUCUGUUUAAAAUGGGAUUACCAAGGAUAUUUUAUAGUAAAAUCACUGUACUUGAAAUUUACUUCUCUUAAGUUCCAAAACUACAACAGACAAGAUCUGGCUUGCUCAUUUUUUAUGUGUCAUUCCAUAACACAGAGAA